rnacentral:rRNA from 1 species
UACGUAGGUGGCUAGCGUUGUCCGGAUUUACUGGGCGUAAAGAGCGCGCAGGCGGUCGUUCAAGUCGAGUGUGAAAGCCCCCGGCUCAACUGGGGAGGGUCACUCGAUACUGAUCGACUCGAAGGCAGGAGAGGGAAGCGGAAUUCCCGGUGUAGUGGUGAAAUGCGUAGAUAUCGGGAGGAACACCAGUGGCGAAGGCGGCUUCUGGCCUGUUCUUGACGCUGAGGCGCGAAAGCUAGGGUAGCAACGGG